UACGUAGGGUGCAAGCGUUGUCCGGAAUUAUUGGGCGUAAAGAGCUCGUAGGCGGUUUGUCGCGUCUGCUGUGAAAACCCGGGGCUCAACCCCGGGCCUGCAGUCGAUACGGGCAGACUAGAGUGCGGUAGGGGAGACUGGAAUUCCUGGUGUAGCGGUGAAAUGCGCAGAUAUCAGGAGGAACACCAAUUGCGAAGGCAGCUCGCUGGGACGUUACUGACGCUGAGACGCGAAAGCGUGGGGAGCAAACAGG
rnacentral:rRNA from 1 species